rnacentral:rRNA from 1 species
CCUACGGGCGGCAGCAGUGGGGAAUAUUGGUCAAUGGGCGCAAGCCUGAACCAGCCAAGUCGCGUGAGGGAAGAAGGUCCUCUGGAUUGUAAACCUCUUUUGUCGGGGAGCAAAAGACGCCACGCGUGGCGGUCCGAGAGUACCCGAAGCACAAGCAUCGGCUAACUCCAUGCCAGCAGCCGCGGUAAUACGGGGGAUGCGUGGGUUAUCCGGAUUUAUUGGGUUGAAAGGGUGUGCAGGCGGAAGUGCAAGUCAGCGUGAAAAUUGAGAGGCUAAACCGCUUCGAGCCGUUGAAACUGGUUUUCUUGAGUGAGGGAGAGGUAUGCGGAAUGCGUGGUGUAGCGGUGAAAUGCAUAGAUA